UCGACGAGACCUUCGGGUCUAGUGGCGCACGGGUGCGUAACGCGUGGGAAUCUGCCCUUGGGUUCGGGAUAACAGUUGGAAACGACUGCUAAUACCGAAUGAUGACUCCGGUCCAAAGAUUUAUCGCCCAGGGAUGAGCCCGCGUCGGAUUAGCUAGUUGGUGAGGUAAAGGCUCACCAAGGCGACGAUCCGUAGCUGGUCUGAGAGGAUGAUCAGCCACACUGGGACUGAGACACGGCCCAGACUCCUACGGGAGGCAGCAGUGGGGAAUAUUGGACAAUGGGCGAAAGCCUGAUCCAGCAAUGCCGCGUGAGUGAUGAAGGCCCUAGGGUUGUAAAGCUCUUUUACCCGGGAUGAUAAUGACAGUACCGGGAGAAUAAGCCCCGGCUAACUCCGUGCCAGCAGCCGCGGUAAUACGGAGGGGGCUAGCGUUGUUCGGAAUUACUGGGCGUAAAGCGCGCGUAGGCGGCUUUGCAAGUUAGAGGUGAAAGCCCGGAGCUUAACUCCGGAACUGCCUUUAAAACUGCAUCGCUAGAAUCAUGGAGAGGUUAGUGGAAUUCCGAGUGUAGAGGUGAAAUUCGCAGAUAUUCGGAAGAACACCAGUGGC
rnacentral:rRNA from 1 species